rnacentral:lncRNA from 1 species
CAUGAACCUGCACCAUUGGCCUCAUCAUUGCAAGUGAAUUCUUGUGUGGGGAGGUCAUCACCAAUUUACAAACUGUUUAGCAGAGAAUCAGUCCAGGAAACCAACCAAGAAAAAAGUCUAGAGGUGCAUGAAGAAAAUAAGGAGCAAGAAACCUCUGGCAGGCACACCGCUAUAUCGCAACCAGUGGGAGAGUGUGGCCACAACUCAGAAGACGUGCUACUAAUUCCAGUAUCCCUUUUUAACAUCAGUGAUCCCCCAACAUGGCCCAAGUUCAUAGAUGACAAAAGACCAGCCAAACUGAAACAUGGACUGUUGCAAAUUAAAGGUAAAAGUUUUCCAAGUCACAAUGGAAGAAAAUUAAAAAAUGGAGGAAAUAUACAAUGGCACUGGCUCAUGUAGUCAAGUAAAGUGGAUGCAUUAUUUUUGCUGAAAGUAUUUGGUGUUGGUAAGCAUCAUCUCAUGGAUGGUGGUGUUCCCUCAAAACAUAACUCUCAAAACUCAUGAGAAAAUCCAUGUUCUUCACAUUGGAAAUAUGGUGAAGUGGAGAGAAUUGGAACUACAACUGAAAACUGAAUCUGCAGUUGACCAGACUUCAUAAUCAUUGUUCGAAAUUGAGAGACAACACUUGUGAGGUGUAUUUGAAAGAACUGUGGCCAUUGUUCUUCACUUAGCAUUUUGUGGUUCCAUGGAAAAAUGUAACCGGUGUGGAAAUGGUAACUUCUUAGGCCAAGUCGAGUUAAUGGCUAAAUUUGAUACUGUGAUGAAGGAACAUGUAAGACAGUUCUUUGCUACAGACAUCAUAAUUUAACUUCAAAAUGAUAUCAUUUUGUAUUGUAGGGCUUAUUUCAAAAGGUAACAGGUACAUUUAUUAACAGUGUAAACAAGAUAAAGUAUUACUCCAUUAUUUUGGAUUGCAUAUCUGAUAUCAGACACGAGGAACAAAUGUCUAGACUCAUAGAUCUUAAGGCUGAAAAGGACCAUUGAGAUCAUCUUGUCUCAGCUCCUGCACAUCACAGGCCACGGUACCUCACCCACCCACUCCUGUAGUAUGCCUGUAACCUCUCCUCAAGUCAUGACUUAAAGGGUUCAAGUUAAAGAGUAUCCACCAUUUACUCUUUUUCAACCCAGCAAGUGACCCAUGCCCCAUGCUGCAGAGAAAGGUGAAAAUCCCCCAGGGUCUCUGCUACUCUGACAUGGGUGAAAAUUUCUUCUCGACCACAACUAUGGUGAUCAGUUAGAUCCUAACCAUGUCGGCAAGACCCACCAGCUGGGAAAGAAUUCACUUUAGGACUCUAGCUGAGAAGGGCUCUGAGUUACAAUUUCCGGCCAUUGGAGAUAUUUGCUACUAGGAGUCUCAGGUGGGCCACAUGCCAUUGUAGGCUACCUCAUCAUACUACCCCCUCCAUUAACAUAUCAAGAUCAGUCUUGAAACCAGUUAGAUUUUUUUGGCCCCAUCAGUCCCCUUGGAAGGCUGUUCCAGAACUUCACUCCUCUGAUCAUUAGAAACCUUCCUCUAAUUUUAAGCCUAAACUUGUUGAUAGCCAGUUUAUAGUCCUUUGUUCUUGUGCCAGCAUUGGCCCUUAAUUUAAAUAACUCUUCUCUCUCCCUGGUAGUUAUCCUCUGAUGUAUUUAUACAGAGCAAACAUAUCUCCCCUCAGCUUUCUUUUGGUUAGGCUAAACAAGCCAAGGUUCUUAAGUCUCCUCUUGUAAGACAGGUUCUGCAUUCCUCUGAUCAUUCUAGUGGCCCUUCUCUGCACUCAUUCCAGUCUGAAUUCUUCUUUCUUAAACAUGGGAGACCAAAACUGCACACAGUAAUCAAAGUCGGGUCUCACCAGUCCUACUACACCCAGCCCCAAGAAAGGAGCAGCAAAGGUGGGUCUGCCUAGGGAGACCUCAUGGAUUCAGACAAUCAGAGUCCAGUAGGCUAAGAUAAAAGGAGAUGUGGGGCCUUCCCAGCCAAGAACUGAACUGCUACCACAGGGGCAAAGAAGGGUGCUCCUCUCUAGCCACAAGAGCUUAAAAAUAACCAGAGUUUGGUUCUGGAUGUAUUUUCUUAAGCUGAGAUAGAGAGGACCGAGAACUUCAACCCUGAGGUAAGGGGUGAAAAUAAAGGGGCCAGGUGGGAAGAGGCCCA